UACGUAGGGGGCAAGCGUUAUCCGGGUUUACUGGGUGUAAAGGGAGCGCAGACGGCAGCGCAAGUCUGAUGUGAAAUCCCGGGGCUCAACCCCGGAACUGCAUUGGAAACUGCGCAGCUCGAGUAUCGGAGAGGUAAGCGGAAUUCCUAGUGUAGCGGUGAAAUGCGUAGAUAUUAGGAGGAACACCGGCGGCGAAGGCGGCUUACUGGACGAAGACUGACGUUGAGGCUCGAAAGCGUGGGGAGCAAAC
rnacentral:rRNA from 1 species